rnacentral:rRNA from 1 species
GUAACAGGAUUAGCUUGCUAAUCGCUGACGAGUGGCGGACGGGUGAGUAAUGCUUGGGAACUUGCCUUUGNNNNNGGGAUAACAGUUGGAAACGACUGCUAAUACCGCAUAAUGUCUACGGACCAAACGGGGCUUNNGCUCCGGCGCAAAGAGAGGCCCAAGUGAGAUUAGCUAGUUGGUAAGGUAAAGGCUUACCAAGGCAACGAUCUCUAGCUGUUCUGAGAGGAAGAUCAGCCACACUGGAACUGAGACACGGUCCAGACUCCUACGGGAGGCAGCAGUGGGGAAUAUUGCACAAUGGGGGAAACCCUGAUGCAGCCAUGCCGCGUGUGUGAAGAAGGCCUUCGGGUUGUAAAGCACUUUCAGUUGUGAGGAAAAGUUAGUAGUUAAUACCUGCUAGCCGUGACGUUAACAACAGAAGAAGCACCGGCUAACUCCGUGCCAGCAGCCGCGGUAAUACGGAGGGUGCGAGCGUUAAUCGGAAUUACUGGGCGUAAAGCGCACGCAGGCGGUUUGUUAAGCUAGAUGUGAAAGCCCCGGGCUCAACCUGGGAUGGUCAUUUAGAACUGGCAGACUAGAGUCUUGGAGAGGGGAGUGGAAUUCCAGGUGUAGCGGUGAAAUGCGUAGAUAUCUGGAGGAACAUCAGUGGCGAAGGCGACUCCCUGGCCAAAGACUGACGCUCAUGUGCGAAAGUGUGGGUAGCGAACNGNAUUANAUACCCUGGNAGUCCACACCGUAAACGCUGUCUACUAGCUGNUUGNGACUUU